AUGGCGACUAACGCAGCCAGUGCUCCGGCAGGCCCUAUCCCGUUCAAGGAUGUUGUCCUCGACAACGUCAACCUGGUCGCCGCCAUAGCGGCGGAGACAUCUUCGGAAGACCACGGCGAUGUCCUGGUAUCGGCGCUACCGAGCAAGCUGUUGGCCGGCACCCAGAACAAGCUCCGCUGCUACCAGGGCUUCUGGCUGCCGGAGACCUUCGUCCCGGCGGCCAUCGGCCUGCAGCGCCGCUUCGUACCCCGCCCCGACGACGUCAUCAUCGCCAGCCUGCCCAAGUGCGGCACCACGUGGCUCAACGCCCUGUCGUUCGCCACGAUGGCGCGCCGCUCUUACCCGCCCGCCGGCGCCGACCACCCACUCCUCCGCCUCAGCCCGCACCAGUGCGUGCCUUUUCUAGACGCCCUCUUCGCCGGAGGCGGCCGGGAGGCCAGGCUCGACGCGCUCCCGUCCCCGCGUCUCAUGUACACGCACAUGCCGCACGAGAUGCUGCCGCGCGCCGGCGGCUGCAGGGUCGUGUACAUCUGCAGGGAGCCCAAGGACACGGCCGUGUCGCUGUGGCAGUUCCGCCGGAGCAUGCACCCGGAGCUACCGUUCAUCGACACCUUCGAGUCCAUCUGCAGCGGCGCCAACACGUACGGGCCGUUCUGGGACCACAUCCUCGGGUACCGGCGCGCCAGCGAGUCGUGGCCGGAGAACGCGCUCUUCUUGAGGUACGAGGAGCUGCUGCGCGACCCCGCCGAGAACGUGAGAAAGCUCGCGCGGUUCGUCGGGCUGCCGUUCUCGGAGGCGGAGGAGGAGGCCGGCGUCGUCCGCGGCAUCGUCGAGCUCUGCAGCCUCGAGAGCCUGAGGAGCAUGGAGGUGAACAGGACGGGCUACAUGGACGGCCUCAAGUUCCCUCGCAAGGCCCUCUUCCGGAAGGGCGUGGCCGGCGACUGGGUGAACCACAUGACGCCGGAGAUGGCGCGCCGCAUGGACGAUAUCGUCGCCGACAAGCUCCGCGCCACGGGUCUCACUUUCCAGUGA
rnacentral:rRNA from 1 species